UACAGAGGGUGCGAGCGUUAAUCGGAAUUACUGGGCGUAAAGCGCGCGUAGGCGGCUUUGCAAGUCGGGUGUGAAAUCCCCCGGCUCAACUGGGGAGGGUCACGCGAUACUGAUCGACUCGAAGGCAGGAGAGGGAAGUGGAAUUCCCGGUGUAGUGGUGAAAUGCGUAGAUAUCGGGAGGAACACCAGUGGCGAAGGCGACUUCCUGGCCUGUUCUUGACGCUGAGGCGCGAAAGCUAGGGGAGCAAACGGG
rnacentral:rRNA from 1 species